rnacentral:rRNA from 1 species
GCCCGCUCAGAAACUUAAAGGAAGUUGACGGGGCCCGCACAAGCGGUGGAGUAUGUGGUUUAAUUCGAUGCAACGCGAAGAACCUUACCUGGUCUUGACAUCCCGGAGACCCUUAGGAAACUAGGGGGUGCUUCCAUCUGGAAGAAUCUGGAGACAGGUGCUGCAUGGCUGUCGUCAGCUCGUGUCGUGAGAUGUUGGGUUAAGUCCCGCAACGAGCGCAACCCUUGCCUUUAGUUGCCAGCAGUUCGGCUGGGCACUCUAAAGGGACUGCCGGUGUUAAACCGGAGGAAGGUGGGGAUGACGUCAAGUCCUCAUGGCCUUUAUGACCAGGGCUACACACGUACUACAAUGGCCGAUACAAAGGGCGGCGACACUGCGAGGUGAAGCCAAUCCCGUAAAAUCGGUCUCAGUCCGGAUUGGAGUCUGCAACUCGACUCCAUGAAGUUGGAAUCGCUAGUAAUCGUGGAUCAGCAUGCCACGGUGAAUACGUUCCCGGGCCUU